rnacentral:RNase_P_RNA from 1 species
AAAGCGGGCCAGGCGAUCGCGCGACCCACCGCAUCCGCAGCGGGCGUGAGGAAAGUCCGGGCUCCACAGGGCAGGAAGCUGGUUAACGGCCAGGCGGGGCAACCCGACGGAAAGCGCCGCAGAAAAGAAGACUCCCACCUGCGUGCUUGGGCCUUUAUGGUCCUCGCGCGUAAAGAGAAAAGCUGAAACGGUGGUGUAAGAGACCACCAGCGCCGUGGCAACACGGUGGCUUGGCAAGCCCCUUCCGGAGCAAGCGCGAAUAGGAGCGCCAUGGGCCGGCCCGGUCCGCGCUCGGGUAGCGUGCGAGGAACUGCACGGCGACGUGCAGGCAAGAUAAAUGAUCGUCCACGACAGAACCCGGCUUAUCGGCCCGCUUUGCGU